GACGAACGCUGGCGGCGUGCUUAACACAUGCAAGUCGAACGGAAAGGCCCUGCUUUUGUGGGGUGCUCGAGUGGCGAACGGGUGAGUAACACGUGAGUAACCUGCCCUUGACUUUGGGAUAACUUCAGGAAACUGGGGCUAAUACCGGAUAGGAGCUCCAGCUGCAUGGUGGGGGUUGGAAAGUUUCGGCGGUUGUGGAUGGACUCGCGGCUUAUCAGCUUGUUGGUGGGGUAGUGGCUUACCAAGGCUUUGACGGGUAGCCGGCCUGAGAGGGUGACCGGCCACAUUGGGACUGAGAUACGGCCCAGACGCCUACGGGAGGCAGCAGGGGGGAAUAUUGCACAAUGGGCGGAAGCCUGAUGCAGCAACGCCGCGUGCGGGAUGACGGCCUUCGGGUUGUAAACCGCUUUCGCCUGUGACGAAGCGGGAGUGACGGUAAUGGGUAAAGAAGCACCGGCUAACUACGUG
rnacentral:rRNA from 1 species